AGGCAGUGGAAACAGCUUUGCACCACAUCCUUUAGCUACAGCAAAUUGAGAGUGCUUGUUUGAUUUUAAGUGUUUUCCUCUCUGCUACGUUGACAGUCAGAUGUCUAAAGGGAUAGUCAGAGACAUUAUUUUCUCUCACCUACAAUACUUGCUGCAACAGGAGAAAUCCAGAUACCAUUUCUCAAGGCUUAAGUCAUACACUUACAAACAGGCUGUUGCUAACUCUUCUUCAGACACAACUCAUAAGUCAGUGGAAGGCUUUAAAUAGAUCUUGUUCAUAGUAUCUCUUCCCCAGGAUCUUUCCAUGCACUUGGAAAGUCCCUGCAUGGUUGUCUGCAGUGGGUGCCCUAGAACUGAUGUUCAAAGGAACAUAUCUGUUGGAGAACAGCUUGAGAUAGAGAAAGAGCCUUAGGCAUAACCAGGAUUGAAGAGAAAGCACUGCUUGAGACUUAAACUUAGUUACCUCUGUGCUGGCAGAAAACUCCAGAUUCUGUGGUAUGGUAAGUAAGGCAGAUGUGUUAUCUGCAGCCCAAGUCUUUCCAUACCUCUGUAGAACAGUUCUGGCUGUAGCAGCAACAGGCCUGGCACGAGCUUACAAGUCCAGACAAAAUAGCAUUAGAUCCCACUUGCAAACAGGCAUUAACUACCUUAGACCUGGUUGCAUGUAAGGACCUGCUGCUCUCAGUCAGUGAUGUUAAUUUGUAGGAAAUGUUAAUCUAUUAACAAAUUUAUAUUUGUUAAUGCUUUUGAAGAUGCUCUCCUGCUUGCUGACUCAUUUUGUGUGGUUUUACAGGCAUGCCUUCUUCAAAUUUUCUCCUUAUACACAGCUUGUCCUAUCUUCUUUCACAUUACAACUGCAAUUUCUGAGUUUUAGAGCAUGUAUUUCAAAGUAUUGUGCUUUUGACCAACCAAUUGGUUCUUCUAAAGCCUGGAAACUACUAGAAAACAUUUUGUGCCAUAAGCAGUGAAGUAAAAGCUUAAUCUACUGCCAUUUGAAGGCAAUGCAGGGGAACUCACACUGGAUUCAAUGGAUUUUGAGUCGGAACCUAGGUCAGCAUUGUGAAUUAUUUCAUGUUUCCAAAUAUGCCAGAUGGUGUCAUUUGCUUAUAGACAAACUGCUAACAUAUUUUCUCUGGAGAUGUUUUAACUUAUUAAAUUAAAGACAUCC